CCGUACUAGAUGGGGAGGUAGCGGUGCCCUGUUCCCUGAAAUCCGCUUAGCAGGGGUCGAACGCCUUUUUAGGGCGCGCGUAUGGAAGGCCGAACAAAGCAAGCGAUGUUGAGCCCAAGGUCUUAUGCAAUAAACCUCUUAUGAACCGUGUCAGAGCCUGACGGCAGCAUCACUAAGUUUGAGUUUUAUGUGCCAUAGGGAAGCUUUGGUGGAGUUGGCUGCUUGUGUUACC
rnacentral:SRP_RNA from 1 species